CCAGGAGUCUCCGUGAAGGGAUGUUGAUCCCGGACCAAGGAGUCUACCGUGAUGGGAAAGUUGUAGCCCGGGCCACUGAUUCUACCUCGCUGGCACGCUCGAGCUACCCGACCGCUGCGCAGCCGCGGACGGCUUUGCCGUCUCGUCGGCUUCCCGCAGAGCCCGGUCGGGCGGAUCCUGCUCUGAGCGGGGGAAACGGAACCCCCGCGAGUCUGCUUGAGGGCGGUGUGCACUUUUCCUUCGCCAUAGUGCGUCGCGAUCCGUUGGUCGGCGGCCUAAAGCCCGGGGUUAUUAUCGGUGCUGCGGCGCGGGUUCGCCCGCGUCGCGGUGCCGAGUCCCCGGUGUGCGUGCGGCGGGCGGCUUCACAGCGCCCGCCUUCGCUUUCCCGGCCGCCGUGUAAGCCCGCCCCGUAGCGGGGCGGCAGUUACGACGGUUAUGAAAUACGUGGAAGACGUCUCGACCGUCACCUACCCCGUCGCAAGGCGGGCUAAGGGGCGGC
rnacentral:rRNA from 1 species